rnacentral:rRNA from 1 species
GACGAACGCUGGCGGCGCGCCUAACACAUGCAAGUCGAACGGAGCUUAGAGAGCUUGCUUUUUAAGCUUAGUGGCGAACGGGUGAGUAACGCGUGAGUAACCUGCCCUAGAGUGGGGGACAACAGUUGGAAACGACUGCUAAUACCGCAUAAGCCCACGGUGCCGCAUGACACUGAGGGAAAAGGAUUUAUUCGCUUUAGGAUGGACUCGCGUCCAAUUAGCUAGUUGGUGAGGUAACGGCCCACCAAGGCGACGAUUGGUAGCCGGACUGAGAGGUUGAACGGCCACAUUGGGACUGAGACACGGCCCAGACUCCUACGGGAGGCAGCAGUGGGGGAUAUUGCACAAUGGGGGAAACCCUGAUGCAGCGACGCCGCGUGGAGGAAGAAGGUUUUCGGAUUGUAAACUCCUGUCGUUAGGGACGAUAAUGACGGUACCUAACAAGAAAGC